rnacentral:lncRNA from 1 species
AUUCUGGUCAAAACCCACAACAGUUUUAAUAGCUUUAACUGAUUCUGUUUAGGCUUUCAUUUCUUGGCCGGCGCUAUCUCUGCUUUCGGUAAGCUUAAUUGUCUUUCCAGAUUCUUUUGAUGUUGUUGAAGAUGAGGUAGUGCACAUCUUCUGAGCUCCAAUUAGCUCCACUUCCUUCGCCUUGUGCUUCUCACCUCGAAGAUGCUCAUCUUGACCACCCUCCACUUUCUAUUCUAAAACAACAGCAGUUUUAUUAGCUUUAUCUGAUUCCUUUUCUACAGUAGCCUUAAUUUCUUGGCCAGCACUAUCUCUGCUUUCAGUAGAGUUUUUUGAAGUGGAGUUACUGCACAUCUUCUGAUCUCCAAGUAAUUCUUCUUCCUUGGCCUUAUGCUUCUUGCCUUGAAGAUGCUAAUCUGGAUCUCUGUUGUGAGUAGUGUUGACCUGACAGAGGGCACAACUCCAAUCCAUGGGUUUCCUUGAACUCGUCAAAGGGAGCUCACCAGAACCUGCAGGUAGUGUGGCAGCUUCCUGCUUUGAUCCACAAAGAUUGGGAUAGGGCUUAACCUGCAGGGCUUGACAACCCUCCUCUUUCUGGUCUAAACCAACAACAGUUCUAUUAGCUUUAACUGAUUCCUCUGCUACUUUAGUCUUCAUUUCUUGGCCAGCACUAUCUCUGCUUUCUGUAGAUUUUUUUAUCCACUUCUGAGCUCCAAGUAGUUCUUCUUCCUUGGCUUUCUGCUUCUUAACUUGAGGAUGCUCAUCUAGA